GGGCCCGCACAAGCGGUGGAGCAUGUGGUUUAAUUCGAUGCAACGCGAAGAACCUUACCAGGGCUUGACAUACUACAGAUUCUUUAGAGAUAGAGAAGUGCCUUCGGGAAUGUAGAUACAGGUGGUGCAUGGCUGUCGUCAGCUCGUGUCGUGAGAUGUUGGGUUAAGUCCCGCAACGAGCGCAACCCUUAUUUUUAGUUACCAAUUCGUUGGGUUCUCUAGAAAGACUGCCGGUGACAAACCGGAGGAAGGUGAGGAUGACGUCAAGUCAGCAUGCCCCUUAUGUCCUGGGCUACACACGUGCUACAAUGGUUAAGACAAAGAGUCGCGAGCUUGCAAAAGUCAGCUAAUCUCAUAAACCGUGGCUCAGUUCAGAUCGUAGGCUGCAACUCGCCUACGUGAAGGCGGAAUCGCUAGUAAUCG
rnacentral:rRNA from 1 species